rnacentral:antisense_RNA from 1 species
UGUGGGAGCGAGCUUGCUCGCGAAUGCGGUGGGUCAGUCGACAUCAAUGUUGGAUGUCGGAUUGCCUUCGCGAGCAAGCUCGCUCCCACA